UACGAAGGGGGCUAGCGUUGUUCGGAGUUACUGGGCGUAAAGGGUGUGUAGGCGGUUCUUUAAGUUUGGGGUGAAAUCUCCCGGCUCAACUGGGAGGGUGCGCCGAAUACUGAGGGACUAGAGUACGGGAGAGGAAAGUGGAAUUCCUGGUGUAGCGGUGAAAUGCGUAGAUAUCAGGAGGAACACCGGUGGUGUAGACGGCUUUCUGGACCGACACUGACGCUGAGACACGAAAGCGUGGGUAGCAAACAGG
rnacentral:rRNA from 1 species